GAUGAACGCUGGCGGCGUGCCUAAUACAUGCAAGUCGAGCGAACAGAUAAGGAGCUUGCUCCUUUGAAGUUAGCGGCGGACGGGUGAGUAACACGUGGGUAACCUACCUAUAAGACUGGAAUAACUUCGGGAAACCGGAGCUAAUGCCGGAUAACAUUUGGAACCGCAUGGUUCUAAAGUAAAAGAUGGUUUUGCUAUCACUUAUAGAUGGACCCGCGCCGUAUUAGCUAGUUGGUAAGGUAACGGCUUACCAAGGCAACGAUACGUAGCCGACCUGAGAGGGUGAUCGGCCACACUGGAACUGAGACACGGUCCAGACUCCUACGGGAGGCAGCAGUAGGGAAUCUUCCGCAAUGGACGAAAGUCUGACGGAGCAACGCCGCGUGAGUGAUGAAGGUUUUCGGAUCGUAAAACUCUGUUAUUAGGGAAGAACAAAUGGUAAGUAACUGUGCACAUCUUGACGGU
rnacentral:rRNA from 1 species